CCAAUUGAUUGAUGGUGCUUGCACCUGAUUGAUUUUGGUCGCCAACGAGUGGCGGACGGGUGAGUAACACGUAGGUAACCUGCCCAGAAGCGGGGGACAACAUUUGGAAACAGAUGCUAAUACCGCAUAACAGCGUUGUUCGCAUGAACAACGCUUAAAAGAUGGCUUCUCGCUAUCACUUCUGGAUGGACCUGCGGUGCAUUAGCUUGUUGGUGGGGUAACGGCCUACCAAGGCGAUGAUGCAUAGCCGAGUUGAGAGACUGAUCGGCCACAAUGGGACUGAGACACGGCCCAUACUCCUACGGGAGGCAGCAGUAGGGAAUCUUCCACAAUGGGCGCAAGCCUGAUGGAGCAACACCGCGUGAGUGAAGAAGGGUUUCGGCUCGUAAAGCUCUGUUGUUAAAGAAGAACACGUAUGAGAGUAACUGUUCAUACGUUGACGGUAUUUAACCAGAAAGUCACGGCUAACUACGUGCCAGCAGCCGCGGUAAUACGUAGGUGGCAAGCGUUAUCCGGAUUUAUUGGGCGUAAAGAGAGUGCAGGCGGUUUUCUAAGUCUGAUGUGAAAGCCUUCGGCUUAACCGGAGAAGUGCAUCGGAAACUGGAUAACUUGAGUGCAGAAGAGGGUAGUGGAACUCCAUGUGUAGCGGUGGAAUGCGUAGAUAUAUGGAAGAACACCAGUGGCGAAGGCGGCUACCUGGUCUGCAACUGACGCUGAGACUCGAAAGCAUGGGUAGCGAACAGGAUUAGAUACCCUGGUAGUCCAUGCCGUAAACGAUGAGUGCUAGGUGUUGGAGGGUUUCCGCCCUUCAGUGCCGGAGCUAACGCAUUAAGCACUCCGCCUGGGGAGUACGACCGCAAGGUUGAAACUCAAAGGAAUUGACGGGGGCCCGCACAAGCGGUGGAGCAUGUGGUUUAAUUCGAAGCUACGCGAAGAACCUUACCAGGUCUUGACAUCUUGCGCCAACCCUAGAGAUAGGGCGUUUCCUUCGGGAACGCAAUGACAGGUGGUGCAUGGUCGUCGUCAGCUCGUGUCGUGAGAUGUUGGGUUAAGUCCCGCAACGAGCGCAACCCUUGUUACUAGUUGCCAGCAUUAAGUUGGGCACUCUAGUGAGACUGCCGGUGACAAACCGGAGGAAGGUGGGGACGACGUCAGAUCAUCAUGCCCCUUAUGACCUGGGCUACACACGUGCUACAAUGGACGGUACAACGAGUCGCGAACUCGCGAGGGCAAGCAAAUCUCUUAAAACCGUUCUCAGUUCGGACUGCAGGCUGCAACUCGCCUGCACGAAGUCGGAAUCGCUAGUAAUCGCGGAUCAGCAUGCCGCGGUGAAUACGUUCCCGGGCCUUGUACACACCGCCCGUCACACCAUGAGAGUUUGUAACACCCAAAGUCGGUGGGGUA
rnacentral:rRNA from 1 species